UAGUCCACGCCGUAAACGAUGAUCACUCGAUAUUGGUUUUAAUCAGUGUCUAAGCGAAAGCGUUAAGUGAUCCACCUGGGGAGUACGAUCGCAAGGUUGAAACUCAAAGGAAUUGACGGGGGCCCGCACAAGCGGUGGAGCAUGUGGUUUAAUUCGAUGAUACGCGAGGAACCUUACCUAGGCUUAAAUGCAGUUUGAUCGAUUGCGAAAGUAAUCUUUCUUUAUGACAAAUUGCAAGGUGCUGCAUGGUUGUCGUCAGCUCGUGCCGUGAGGUGUCGGGUUAAGUCCCAUAACGAGCGCAACCCCUAUUUCUAGUUGCCAGCACAUAAUGGUGGGGACUCUAGAAAAACUGCCCGUGUAAACGGAGAGGAAGGUGGGGAUGACGUCAAAUCAUCACGGCCCUUACGUCUAGGGCUACACACGUGCUACAAUGGUAAGAACAAUGUGUUGCUUUAUGGUGACAUUAUUGCUAAUCAUUAAAUCUUAUCUCAGUUCGGAUUGAAGU
rnacentral:rRNA from 1 species